rnacentral:rRNA from 1 species
UACAGAGGUCUCGAGCGUUGUUCGGAUUCAUUGGGCGUAAAGGGUGCGUAGGCGGCGCGGUAAGUCGGGUGUGAAAUCUCGGAGCUUAACUCCGAAACUGCAUUCGAUACUGCCGUGCUUGAGGACUGGAGAGGAGACUGGAAUUUACGGUGUAGCGGUGAAAUGCGUAGAUAUCGUAAGGAAGACCAGUGGCGAAGGCGGGUCUCUGGACAGUUCCUGACGCUGAGGCACGGAAGGUCAGGGGAGCAAACGGG